rnacentral:rRNA from 1 species
GGGAGGGUCAUUGGAAACUGGGGAACUUGAGUGCAGAAGAGGAGAGUGGAAUUCCACGUGUAGCGGUGAAAUGCGUAGAGAUGUGGAGGAACACCAGUGGCGAAGGCGACUCUCUGGUCUGUAACUGACGCUGAGGAGCGAAAGCGUGGGGAGCGAACAGGAUUAGAUACCCUGGUAGUCCACGCCGUAAACGAUGAGUGCUAAGUGUUAGGGGGUUUCCGCCCCUUAGUGCUGCAGCUAACGCAUUAAGCACUCCGCCUGGGGAGUACGGUCGCAAGACUGAAACUCAAAGGAAUUGACGGGGGCCCGCACAAGCGGUGGAGCAUGUGGUUUAAUUCGAAGCAACGCGAAGAACCUUACCAGGUCUUGACAUCCUCUGACAAUCCUAGAGAUAGGACGUCCCCUUCGGGGGCAGAGUGACAGGUGGUGCAUGGUUGUCGUCAGCUCGUGUCGUGAGAUGUUGGGUUAAGUCCCGCAACGAGCGCAACCCUUGAUCUUAGUUGCCAGCAUUCAGUUGGGCACUCUAAGGUGACUGCCGGUGACAAACCGGAGGAAGGUGGGGAUGACGUCAAAUCAUCAUGCCCCCUAUGACCUGGGCUACACACGUGCUACAAUGGACAGAACAAAGGGCAGCGAAACCGCGAGGUUAAGCCAAUCCCACAAAUCUGUUCUCAGUUCGGAUCGCAGUCUGCAACUCGACUGCGUGAAGCUGGAAUCGCUAGUAAUCGCGGAUCAGCAUGCCGCGGUGAUACGUUCCCGGGCCUUGUACACACCGCCCGUCACACCACGAGAGUUUGUAACACCCGAAGUCGGUGAGGUAACCU